rnacentral:lncRNA from 1 species
CUCUUUUAAUGGAGUUGUCUGUUCUUGUGGCUGAGAGCCUUCUAAGAACAUGCACUCCCAUGGCUGCCACGUGGGGACUCACACACAGCGGGCAGCCGCUCAGUGCACAUGGGGUGGGGUACAUACACAGCCACUGUGUGCGUGCACGCACAAACACACACGCACAGACUCAGCAGCGCCCCACGUAGUGGCCGUGUAUCCAGGACACAGAAUUGGGUUGGCCUGCCACGUCUGUGCAUGUCCAGCGUGGUUCCCUGGCGGUUCCAGGCUCCAUCUUUCUCGAGCACCUCCCUCGUCCUCAGCCCAUCUGCUUCUCCACUGCCUUCACCGUGGUUACCUGGACGACUUCUAUAGAAUCCCAGCUGGUCUCCCCAUUGGUAUGCUUCUUCCUCUUUAAAUUAUUUUCCACUCGGCAGUCAGAGAGAGAGUUUGAAAAGUACAUUGGCUCUCAUCAUUCUCUUGUUGAAAACCCUUCAAAGGCCCCCUGUUGCUCUGAGGCACCUGCCCUGCAGAGGUCUCCAGUCCCAUUUCUCCCCUUGCCUCCCACUGAACCUCCAUCCUCAGGUUUACUCCUCACUGUAUCCCGGUUGGGCAGGGGGGUGGGGAGACUGACUCCUGCAGGCUGGAUUUCCCAGAAGCCGGUGACAGCUGGUUUCCAGCUGGGUUCAGCCAAUGGGAGGCACUGGUGGGAGAUUGGAGGGUGGGAGGAAGAGAAAAACCAGAGUAUUUCUCUCCCUUCACCUCCUCUGUGGCUCCCAGUGGACGGGCCUGGGCGCCCUGAACUCAUCCUCCCUCUGUCCCUCCAGCCUGGGAGGCAGCUGGGGCUGACCUUUGUGUUCCUCCACCUUCCCUGCUGUCGCUCAGCACUUUCCACACCUGGGGAACCAAUUCCCUGGAUUAUAUUCCCUCCAUUUCGAAGAGAGAUUUCUGUUUUCUGGCUUGACUGGCUGACACAGGCAGUCAGGAGCCCUGAGGAGGAAGCCAGCCGCAGCCUGUGCAGGGCGGGGCCAUGGGAACAGCAGGGAAGAGAUGCUGAAGCCUGGUGCCCUCCCCUGUGGCCCCCCCAUCUUUGGACUUGAAGUCAAG